rnacentral:rRNA from 1 species
CGGGGGGAGCAAGCGUUGUUCGGAUUUACUGGGCGUAAAGGGCGCGUAGGCGGCCACCGCAAGUCGACUGUGAAAUCUCCGGGCUUAACUCGGAAAGGUCAGCCGAUACUGCGGGGCUAGAGUGCAGAAGGGGCAACUGGAAUUCUCGGUGUAGCGGUGGAAUGCGUAGAUAUCGAGAGGAACACCUGCGGCGAAGGCGGGUUGCUGGGCUGACACUGACGCUGAUGCGCGAAAGCUAGGGGAGCGAACGGGAUUAGAUACCCCGGUAGUCCUAGCCUUAAACGAUGAAUGCUUGGUGUCUGGGGUUUUAUAGUCCCCGGGUGCCGUCGCUAACGCUUUAAGCAUUCCGCCUGGGGAGUACGGUCGCAAGACUG